UACGGGAGGCAGCAGUGGGGAAUCUUCCGCAAUGGGCGAAAGCCUGACGGAGCAACGCCGCGUGAGUGAAGAAGGGUUUCGGCUCGUAAAGCUCUGUUGUCGGGGACGAAUGUCAGAGAUGUGAAUAAUGUCUUUGAAUGACGGUACCUGACGAGGAAGCCACGGCUAACUACGUGCCAGCAGCCGCGGUAAU
rnacentral:rRNA from 1 species